CCUACGUGAGUCAGCAGUGGGGAAUAUUGCUCAAUGGGGGAAACCCUGAUGCAGCGACGCCGCGUGAGUGAAGAAGUAGUUCGGUAUGUAAAGCUCUAUCAGCAGGAACGAGACAAGACGGUACCUGACUAAGAAGCCCCGGCUAACUACGUGCAAGCAGCCGCGGUAAUACGUAGGGGGCAAGCGUUAUCCGGAAUCACUGGGUGUAAAGGGAGCGUAGACGGCUGAGCAAGCCUGAGGUGAAAGGCGGGGGCCGAACCCCCGGACUGCUUUGGGAACUGUACGGCAGAGUGCAGGAGAGGUAAGUGGAAUUCCUAGUGUAGCGGUGAAAUGCGUAGAUAUUAGGAUGAACACCAGUGGCGAAGGCGGCUUACUGGACUGUAACUGACGUUGAGGCUCGAAAGCGUGGGGAGCGAACAGGAUUAGAUACCCGAGUAGUC
rnacentral:rRNA from 1 species